rnacentral:lncRNA from 10 species
AGGAAUUCAAGGCCAGGCUGGGCAACAUAGCAAGACCCUAUCUCUAAAAAUUAGCCAGACAUGGUAGUGCACACUUGUAGUCCUACCUAUUUGGGAGGCUGAGGCAGGAGGAUCACUUGAGCUCAGGAAUUAGAGGCUGCAGUGAGCUAUGAUCAUGCCACUGCACUCCAGCCUGGGUGUCUGUUACAAAAAAAGUUUAAAAAGUUAAAAUAAAAUGAACUAAUACACGUAAAGUGCCUGGCAUAUAUAAUAGUGUAUGCUAAUAACAUUAUUACAACUAUUCUUUUGGCAAAACCUUAUUGUCUUCUCUGCUUCAUACAGUGACCUACAUAAAAGAGCUAUAUAUCAAAUGCUUAUUAAGCAGCAAACACUGAGAUUUAUAUGUAUUUUCUCAUUUAAUGCUCAUGGGAACCCUAUAAGGUGAUAGUUGUUGUUACCUCCAUUUUACAGGUGAGGAAGUUGAAGCUCAGAGAAGUUGAAUAACUUGCCCAAGAUCACAUAGCAAAAAGAUAACCUCAACACAUGCCCUGGAUCAAACUAGGAACAUGACUGAAGAAUAAAAUUGCUCCUCCUGCAAAGAUGGAAGAAUGUUGAGCUCUGUGAGAGCUCCCCACAGCAUGAGGAAAUAAAGGGGUUGAAACCAGAGAGAAGCUGAGUGGAGACCAAGCAAGAAGGCAGGAAAGUAGGAGCCAGGAAGAGACACUUUUUACCAUUUAUGUAAAAUUAUGUGUGUGUCUGUACAUAGCCACAGAGGGCUAUGAAGAGAGAAUGCCAGCAGGCUCUCCAGCAUCAUCCACUAACACUUUCUAAGAUGACAGAAAUGUGCUACAUCUGCACUGUCCAAAACAGUAGCCGUGAGCCUCCUGAGCUGCUGAGCACUUGGAAUAUGAGUAAAAGUCUUUGCUGGUGCAUCAGAUUGGCAGAGCAUAGAUCACAUGUCUGUGCCCUAGCUGCAAGGGAGUCUAGGUAAGCAAGCCCUCUUCUAACACUUUCAGCUUCUGUUGGGAAGGUGACCAAAAGUUGGGAGCUCCCUGCAAAUAAAAAUGAACUUCAUGUGCUGGGCAGCCAAAAACAAAAGAUUUUUAAAAUAUACAAUAAAUGCCAUUUAAACUAGGGAAAGGCUGGGGAGAAAGGGAAACUAAUGUAAAAUUUUUAAGUAGACCUGGAUUCUGGACUCAUUAAAUACAUUUUAGGGGUAACUAGCUCUCUGAAACCUUGUUUUUGUAUCUGAAAUCAAAGUGUUGAAUCAGAUGAACUCUCUGGAUGUUGAUGCUGUGAAAUGUCACAUUCUCAGAUCAUCUCUGUGGUUGGCAUGACUUGAAACAAAGAAAAAGAAGAUCCCAUAAUUACGCUGAAAAAAUUAUUAUUUUUAUCUUAAGUCACCCCAAAAUUUGUAUUUAGAAAUGGACAAGGUAAACAUUUUUAUAGGAAUUUUUAUUUCUUCCUUUAAAGUAACUUGUCAGUAUUAUACUGUUGGUUAUUGGAUUUGAGAGAAGACCUUCUCUCUCCAGACCCAAAGCCAGUCAUCUUGUGUGCUCUGAAAUGGACCAGACUAUUUUUAAAAGGGAGAGAAAGAGGUGCCAUGAGGUGAUAAAAGGGACAAAAAAAGGUAGACUUUGUUUCUAUAAAAGUUUUUUGGAACAUGAUAGCUUUUUUCAUGUCAGCCAUACUCAGAGAUAAGUGGGAAAAACUCCUGUCUAGUUCUCCCACAUCUGCCAUGAAAGUUACUAGGGUUCUUAUAGGCUUUUCUUCUGAAUUACUAUAGCAUAUAUUUAGGAUUAUCCCUAUUUCAUCUGAAAGUUUUUAUUUAAAUGUACUGCUUGUUUGCACAUGUUUGUUUAAGUUUUGCUGAAAUCUUAAGUAUCAUUCUGUGACUUCUUAAUUUCUCUUCCUGUGGGGGGUGUUUCUCUUACUUCAUAAACUGAAGACAGGGCUUUCCAAAAAUGUUCACAUCCAAGCACUCAUAAAAAUUGUAUUUGUAUCUGAGGUUACUUCAGAUCCUGAGUUGUCCUGGGGACUCCAGCCUAACCACCCUGAAAACUGAGGGCACCAAUGAUGCUGCCAUCUGUCACUUUCGUGGUUCACCAGUGUGUGAGGCACUCCUCAGAAAACUCUGGCCUAAGCCCAUGGGAAAAAUUAAGUUUGAUAUACCAAAGCAGUCUUUACAUACAGUUUUCCAGGGAUGGGUCUGCUAAAGCAUGCAAUAUAUCAGAAAGGAUAGGUUUCAUGACAGUGAAGAGAAUGGCGGACUAGCCCAGAGGUCUGUUUCAGUGAACUGAAAUGGAUGAGGAAGCUGAGGCCCAGAGAGAUAAGUGACUUGGCCUAGGUCACACAGCCACUUGGCAGCAGGCCAGGCCGAGAUUGCCAGGUGAAGAACCCU